rnacentral:rRNA from 1 species
CACCAGUUACGUGGGAAUUUUGGACAAUGGGCGCAAGCCUGAUCCAGCAAUGCCGCGUGCAGGAUGAAGGCCUUCGGGUUGUAAACUGCUUUUGUACGGAACGAAACGGUCUGCUCUAAUACAGCGGGCUAAUGACGGUACCGUAAGAAUAAGCACCGGCUAACUACGUGCCAGCAGCCGCGGUAAUACGUAGGGUGCGAGCGUUAAUCGGAAUUACUGGGCGUAAAGCGUGCGCAGGCGGUUAUAUAAGACAGAUGUGAAAUCCCCGGGCUCAACCUGGGACCUGCAUUUGUGACUGUAUAGCUAGAGUGCGGCAGAGGGGGAUGGAAUUCCGCGUGUAGCAGUGAAAUGCGUAGAUAUGCGGAGGAACACCGAUGGCGAAGGCAAUCCCCUGGGCCUGCACUGACGCUCAUGCACGAAAGCGUGGGGAGCAAACAGGAUUAGAUACCCCGGUAGUCCGG